rnacentral:rRNA from 1 species
AAUCAACGCUGGCGGCGUGCCUAACACAUGCAAGUCGAACGCGAAAGAGGAGCAAUCCUUAAGUAGCGUGGCAAACGGGUGAGUAACACGUGGGUGACCUGCCUUCGAGUGGGGGAUAACCUUCCGAAAGGAGGGCUAAUACCGCAUGAAAUACCGUGUUUAGAUACAUGGAUAUCAAAGCCGGGGAUCGCAAGACCUGGCGCUUGAAGAGGGGCCCGCGUCCGAUUAGCUAGUUGGUGAGGUAACGGCUCACCAAGGCUCCGAUCGGUAUCCGGCCUGAGAGGGCGGACGGACACACUGGAACUGAAACACGGUCCAAACUCCUACGGGAGGCAGCAGUGGGGAAUUGUUCGCAAUGGGCGAAAGCCUGACGACCCAACGCCGCGUGGAGGAUGAAAAAUUUCGGUUCGUAAACUCCUUUCGACCGAAAUGAAUACCCAUGGACUUAAUACGUCUGUGGGCUGACAGUAUCGAGAGAAGAAGCCCCGGCUAACUCUGUG